GAACGGGGCACGAACCCGUGUCCCCUGCAUCAGCAGGUGGACACUGAACCACUGCGCCACCAGGGAAGCCCUAGGUGAGUCUUUUGUCCAUUCAUUUAACAUAUAUGCAUGAAUCUGCCAUGUAACAAUAAUAAUACAUAAUCCACUGUGAUUAUCAAGAACAAAUUGAAUAACUGUAUACAUGAGAUUCUGAACAAGAAUGGAAAUAUCCAGUGAGCCAGGAAUGUUCUUGUAACUGAGAAAAGCCAGCUAGACUCAAAUGUCUUAGUGGUUUGGGGAUUAAUUUAGCAUGUGAUCUACCACGAACAACUGCGUCCUUGGACUACAUUUUUUUUUCAAGUUCAGGUAUAAAUAUAUUUGCCAUCUUCUGAAGUACUACCUGUCUUCUGUAGUGAACUUUUAUAAGAACUAAAGAAGAAGCUUUUGUGAAGUUUACCAGGGUAUUUGCCUUUUAUAAAAUUAUUGCAAAGCAUUUUCAUUAAAGUCAGCAGAAAACUCAAGAUCUUAGAAAUCUUCAUUUUCUGAUCUCAAAUGCAAAUACAUUUGGCUUUUAAAUUUUCUCCAUAAUUUAAAUCAAAAUAACAAAGAUUAUUCACAAUUUUGUCCUAAAUACCAGUACAAAGCAGCAAAAUAAAUAUUUCAUAGAUGUGUACCAUUAUAUAAGGAAAAAAUUUUGUUGAGAAAAUUGGUUUGUUUGAAAUAGAUUUUAUUUCAAAUAAGCAGAGACAAGGAUAGCCUAAUACAGUUUGAUAGUUGUCCAUAAGCUCUUCAAUCAUUCUUUUUUAAAUCUAGUUUUAUUAAGAUGUAAUUGACAUACAACAUUGUAUAAGUUUAAGGCAUACCAUGUGUUGAUUUGAUACACUUAUAUAUUGCAAAAUGAUUACCACUAUAGUGUUAGCUAAAACCUCUGCCACAUCAAAUAAUUACUCUCUAUAUACUUCUCACCAUACUUAACAAUUGGUGAGACUUCUCUUCACUCCCUUAAUAUAUUUAUUUUGGAGCUCUGAUUAUUUCCAUUAUACAUUCUCUUCUUUGAUUACCUUUUCUUAGAAAUGAGAGAUUAUGUGAUUAAAAUGAAUCAGGUUAAAAUUCUGUGUGAGAAACUGCAUUGUAUCAUCUUUUCCAAUACUUAUUCAUUGUUUAGGUGUGAAAGUCCUCAGGUCUUUGUACUUGAAGUGGGUAUCUGUAACAGAGGGAAACAUUAAUAAAGAAAUCAGUUGAAACAUGUGCAAUUUUUUGUCUUGUUUUCUCAUAUUUAUUACAAAAGAGAGAAAGAUGCAUGCAUGUGAUACAAGGGAGUGGUCUCAACUCUUCUUAUUACCUCACAAAUACAAAAAAUGUCACUAAUACUCUACAGGCAAUAGAGACUGAAAUUUAUGGAUGUUUUCAGGUACCAAAAUGAUUUUGAAAUGUUAGAUACUAGUAAUCCUAUAUCUUCCUCGUCCUUUUUCUUCUUUAGGGAUAUGUGUUGGGGUAGAGAGUUAUAGAGAAGUGGAGAGAGAAAUGUAAGUAUCAGAAUUCUUUUAUUUUUUUAAUAAUUAGUUUUAUUGUUACAAAGCAAUGAAGACUUUCAAUAGGAGUGUAAAGGUUAAAGCCACUGCUAAAUGUCUUUGUUAAUGUUUUUUGUUUUUCCAUCAAUACUGUUUAUGGCAGACACUACUGGCUGGCUGAACCAAUACCCAUCCAUUUCAGCUAGUGAUGACCAUGUAAUACAUUUGUGGGUCAGAGCUAUAUAAGUAGGAGUUUGUUAUGUGAGGGGUUUGCUUUCCUGAUAAAAAGAGGUACAUUGAUCUGGCGCAGCAUUCUCACCUUUAUGCCUUUUGUUCCUUCUUCUCCUGUCUGGAAUGCAGACCCAGAUACACAGCAUCACUUUACAAUCAGGUGGCAGUAAGUAUGAGUACAUAAGCCUUGCCACUGAAGACGGUGGGGUAUGACGUUAAAAAAGAGCCAAAGUCCCCGCAUAGCAUCUUUGAGAAGCUGAACUAACUUCCCAUCUCAAGACUUAACUGUUCUGUAUGAAAAACGAAUCCCUGUUUGCUUAAACUUCUCUUUCUGUUUUCUGUUAUUUGAAGCUGCAUCCACCCAUUCCUAAUCAGUUUACACUUCUAGACUUUUCAGUUAUCUGCCAUUAAUUGAAUGCUUAUACUGUGCCAGGCGCAGUGCUAAGUAUUUACAUAUGUUAAUUUAAUUCACAGGACAGCCAUAAGGAAAGUAACACUUUAUUACAGAUGACUUACUGGCAUACAGGAUGGAUGGAUCCCUGUGUGACUGGAAUGGUUUCAUCAAAUAGAGAAACUGAAGCAGAGAAAUGUUAAGCAACUUUGCAUAGCUAGACCCACACUCCACCCUCCUCUCCACUGGUCACACCCCCUUGAGGCUAACCUGCCUGAACGAAGUCAACAGAGAUCCUGUUCCCUCAAGUCAGGUUUAGCAAAUGGGAAUUCUGGGAGGAUGCAGGAAGAAGGUCACUGCUCUGUGCCGGCUGACCCGCUCUUUCUUUCUGAGUUUUGGUAACUUUACUUCCCACCAUCUCUUUAGCUUGGGUUUCUGCCCUGUCCUUUCACUUCCCCUUUUAAUUAGAUUUUUGAUAAAUAAACCCUCCUCAAAUUAUCCUAGUUCAAGUGUGUCAUAGGUAGCCUGUUGGAAACCUAGUGGACACAGCAACCUUCACUCAUGUAUUCAUUCAUUUAGUAAAUAUUUUUUCAGUGCCCAGGCUUGGCACUGAGCUUCAGGGAUAUAAGUAGUUGGCAAAAAAACAGUCACAGCCUCUGACCUCAUGGAGAUGAAAAUUUAGUUUGGACAGGUUUUUCCACCACUGUGGGUGGCCGACAUUGAUUGAACUUACCUUUUUUUCAUUCGAUACUCGAUAAAAUCUGGCUCAAACUCAAUGUAAAUGUCACACUCCAAGCAUUGAAAGCAGUUGCUUUAUCUCCUUAGAAUACUUCCUAAUAGAUGUUCUGCUGGAGUACAUGAGGGAGCAGACACGAGCACACUGAUUAGCUACCAGCAUGGUCCACCAGUUGGAGCUGAAGUCUGCAGCGAAAUUCCCUCUUGCUUGGGGGAGGUCCGUCUUUGGUUCUAUUCAGGCCUUCAGCUGAUUGGAUGAGGCCCACCCAGUGUAUGGAGGACAGUCUGCUUUACUCAAAGUUCACCAAUUUACGUGGAAAUCUCAUCCAAAAUCACCCACACAGAAACAUCACAUUUAAUAUAUCCUCCAAAUGACAAACUACAUCUUUACACCUGAAUUAAAUAAUGAAAUAUUUCAGAUCAAAUACAUUUUGAAAAUUUAAGAAUUUAAGUACAUAUUACAUGACUAUGACGUGCAUGGCUCUUUGCUUGAUACUGGCCUCACACAGAUGAAUGACAUAGACAGAUUUCCCAUAUUCAUAGAACUUAGUUUGAUGGUAAAAUAAACAUAUUCAUGAGAUCAUAUGGUUUUUAUAUGCAACAUGAAAAGAAACAAUUGAAAUUUUCUCCACUCAGUGUCAUAGGUACACAUUUAUGAAACUGAUUUCUUCUUUUAUUCACAAUGCUUAUCCUAUAACUGUUCCAUCAGCUUCCCUGACCUUUUUUAACAGAUAUAUCUGCAAAGACCACAGCUGUGUUAUCAGGACCUCAACACUGUCCCUCGUUAAUUUGGAUGAGUUACUGUAAUGCUCAGAGCCUCUGUGUCUUCAUUUCUAAACAACCUUGCAAGUCAACGAAGUGAUCACCCCUGACUUUUCCUGGUCAGAACUCCUUCUCAUAUCGGGAAAUGCCCCCAUAAUUCUUCUGUGAACUCCCUUCUCUGCCUAACAUAACUUGCAGGUGUCUGUGGAAGCUGUUCAUUUCAGUUUUGUGCAUGCUCUCUGACCACAUCUGAGAGAUCCAGGUAUGAUUAUCCAACCAUGUUGGGUCCUUUCCUCAGAUAUUGGAACUAGAAAAAGGAAGUUAAUAUCUUUCUCCCUCUAAUGAUUGAACUCUUUAAUGUGUAAAUGUGUAAGGUGUUGGCAGGUGUAUUUUAUCGUAUGUUUGAGGUGACAAAAGAGCUGGAAUGCUGGAAGAAAGAAAAAAUGGCAACCGGCAGAAAGAAGCAGAGACAAAGGAUGGAUCAAGGUUCGGAUUAGUUCCCUGUGCCUCCAUUCACUCCCAUCCCGUCCUCAGGGCAUUCUGUAAGGCCUCCUUGCAGGGAUGUGCCCUUUGAAAAUGUCUGGUUCUCAAGUCCAUUCAUAAUACCUCCCUUUAUUGCCUCUCUGACCUGUCUCUCCCCAUUUCUACCUUCAACUGAAUUCCCAGCCACACUGUACUACUGACAAUAUUUUAAGUCUAUCACGUUGAGUUUUAGUUCUGCCCUAGUUUUCCCUGGAUGUCCAACCCUCCCCUCCUGCCCUGCCUUCCCUACCUCUCCAACAUUCAUCUGCAGGUUUACAACUUUCUUCUUCAAGGGCAUCAACUCUGACCCCUCCUCCAGUCAGAGUAAAACACCUUUUUAUGUUUUCCUAAGCAACCCUCACUUUGCCUGUUUUAGAGCUAACUUUGUCAUCGUAUACUCUAAUUAAAUGCUAACGUACUUGACUGGACUCUCUGUUACAGUGUGAGCUCCUCGAAGAUACAGAUCAUAACUGUUUUUGUUUUUCUCACCGCUAUACAUCUAGCACACAUAGCACUGUUCCCGGCACAGAGCAGGUAAGCAAAAAGUAUCUUGGAAUAAAUAAAAGAUUAAUAUAUAUUUUAAUAUCACAGAGUAAGGAGAUCUCUAAGUCAAAUAUUCCUAAGUAUUGUGAUUGAGCACUCUUUAAAAACUAAAACUGGUGUUAAGCUCUUUUUUUUUUUAUGCGGU